CUUACUUUACAAGCACGUAAACUGACUUACAGGAGUCAUCAUGUCCCCCUUCCUAGUCUUUCUAGCAGCUGUAUUCGCAUCUUUUGGACAUGCUGUUGAGAUACAUCAGGAAACACUGUCAAUAGUCAGACCAGCAGAUCAACAGAAAACUGCAGCAUUUAAUUGUAAAGCUACUGGUUUAUACAGUAGCUACCCUUAUAUUCACUGGUAUCGACAGAAGGGAGAUGGCAAGCUUGAACGCAUUUUAUAUUAUAACAGAGAUAGCUCAAGUGUUUCUAAAGACCCAGGAUUUACUGAACAAGGAAAAUAUGAAGCUGAGCACACUAAUGAUAUCUUCACACUUCGUGUACAUAAAAUAGUACGAGACAAUGAAGGCACAUAUUACUGUGCACACUGGGAUCCCACAGUGGUUAACAAACAUGAUUAGCCUGCACAAAAUCUUCCAUUCAAAUAGUAAUGCUGUGCUUGAAGUCUGCAUAAUCACAAAUA